rnacentral:rRNA from 1 species
CACGUAGGGUGCAAGCGUUGUCCGGAAUCAUUGGGCGUAAAGAGCUCGUAGGCGGCUUAGUAAGUCGGGUGUGAAAACCCCAGGCUCAACCUGGGGACGCCACCCGAUACUGCUAUAGCUAGAGUCCAGUAGGGGAGUGUGGAAUUCCCAGUGUAGCGGUGAAAUGCGCAGAUAUUGGGAGGAACACCAGCGGCGAAGGCGGCACUCUGGGCCGUAACUGACGCUGAGGAGCGAAAGCAUGGGGAGCGAACAGG